rnacentral:rRNA from 1 species
GACAGAGGGUGCAAACGUUGUUCGGAAUUACUGGGCGUAAAGCGUGUGUAGGCGGCCAUGUAAGUCGGGUGUGAAAGCCCCGGGCUCAACCCCGGGAAGUGCACUCGAAACUGCGUGGCUUGAGUAUCGGAGAGGUUGGUGGAAUUCUCGGUGUAGAGGUGAAAUUCGUAGAUAUCGAGAGGAACACCGGUGGCGAAGGCGGGUCUCUGGGCCGAUACUGACGCUGAGGAGCGAAAGCGUGGGGAGCGAACAGG